GGCGGCGUACCCAAGUGGCUAAGGGACCAGUUUGCAAAACUGUUAUUCGUCGGUUCGAAUCCGACCGCCGCCUCCA
rnacentral:tRNA from 1 species